ensembl:lncRNA
CUGGGCUUGAAGAACGUCACGGACUUCUGUCAGGGAAGACCUCUCCUUUUGCCACUCAAGACGUGCAUUAUGCAGGCAAUGCUCACUCUUAAGGAGAGCAGCCUUGGUGCUUUCGUUGAUUUGAGUCUGUUCGUCCAGUUUAGCUUGGCUUGAGGCCUUGAAUUGUUGCAUUUCACCUUGGUUGGUCGUCAUCUCCUCACUCUUGAGAAGGUCCUGUGAUGCUUUCAGGGCUGCAGCCAUCUUGUCUCUUUCCGCUCUCUGUUUGCUCAUCGUGUCCUCUUGGAAAGCCUGGAAUAAUUCCUUUACUUGCUUUACUGCCUCCUCUUUGUUUUUAAGAGCUUCUGCCAACUUUGAUAUUUCAAUUUGUUGCUCCUUUGUUUGAGCCCUCUCAUUUUCCAGUUGGCUCUCCAAUUCCAACUUCUCUUUAGUGUCAGCCGCAGCAAUGCACGUCCCUUCAGCCUGGGGCUUCAACUCUUUAGCUUCUGCGUCAUUUUGAAGGGCCUGUUUUUCUCCCUUCAUCCGCUCAGCUUGGAGUUCGUCCUGUGCUGCUUUCAGGGCCGCUGCAAUGCCGAUUUUCUCCGCUGUCCAAUUGUUCAUCUGGGUGUUAUGGAAGGCUUGGAAUCGUUCCCUCAUUUGGAUUGCUGACCCCUCCUGGUUUUUAAGAGCUUCUGCCAACUUUGUCAAUUCAAUGCGAAGCUUCUCUGUUUGAGCCCUCUCAAUUUCCAGUUGACUUUCCAAUUCAAUCUCUGUGUUAGUUUUAGCCAGCUUCAUUUCAGCACUGACCUUCAACAUCCAUUCCAGUUGACCCUUCAAUUCCAAGUUCUCCUUAGAGAUAGUCUCUUCAAAAUUAGGCAGAAGCUGUUUUUCUCCCUUCAUUUUCAAGUCUACACACUGGAUCUUGGUCUUGGGUGUCUGUCCCUCGACAUCACCCUGGGUCUUUUGCAGCUUGGGCCGGCUGGCUUUUAGCUGCGUUUUUUGGCAUAUCUCCUUUUGCACUUCUCCAGUCUUUUUUUCAGGGAGAAGAUCAAGGAACUGUUGCAAUCUGUCCUCGUCAAUCUGAAGGAGAACUCUCCCCUCACAUUGAGUUUGGGUGAGCAUUGCAUUGCUGUCCAGCUCAGCUCUUACUUGUUCCUCCAGCGAAUGGAGAUAGAAAUUCACAGGAGGAUCAACCUCCUUGGAAUUUAAAUCCCUUUUCUCCACCAUUAUCUGUUUUUUCUGGACGUUGGACAUACUUUUCUUUUAUCUGUUGCUUUCUGCUCAGUACACCUUCAAUUCAAACUGUCAGAGUGGUCUUCAAACCGGACUGAUGUCUGCUAAGCUGUGAGUGAGUGAGUGAGUGAGUGAGUGAGUGAGUGAGUGAGUGAGUGGAAGCAGUGGAACCCUUGUAAUGACACGUUCCAUGAUGUCAUCGUUCCUUUUGAUCUUUCUGUUGCUAUGGGAUACAGAUAUGUCAUCGUCGCUAUGGGAUACAGAUAUGUCAUCGUUGCUAUGGGAUACCGACAUUAUUUACAUUACAUCAUCUAGUUGUUGGAUAGCAGAUUGAAUGUUUUCAAUG